rnacentral:rRNA from 1 species
CCCUUAGAUGUUCUGGGCUGCACGCGCGCUACACUGAUGCGCUCAACGAGUUUUAACCUUGCCUGGAAAGGUUGGGUAAUCUUUUUAAAACGCAUCGUGAUGGGGAUAGAUUAUUGCAAUUAUUAAUCUUCAACGAGGAAUUCCUAGUAAGCGCGAGUCAUCAGCUCGUGCUGAUUACGUCCCUGCCCUUUGUACACACCGCCCGUCGCUACUACCGAUUGAAUGGCUUAGUGAGGUCUCCGAAUUGGCUUUGGGGAGCCGGCGACGGCACCCUAUUGCUGAGAAGCUGAUCAAACUUGGUCAUUUAGAGGAAGUAAAAGUCGUAACA